UGGUGGUUUGAACUGUCUGGUCAAUUCCGAUAACGAACGAGACCUUAACCUGCUAAAUAGUCACGUUGACCACCGUGUCGACGCUCACUCCUGCCACUGCCGCAAGGUGGUGGUGGGUUGACUUCUUAGAGGGACUAUUGGCGUUUCUAGCCAAUGGAAGUUUGAGGCAAUAACA
rnacentral:rRNA from 1 species